UGCCAGAGAGAGACAAAGGGCAGGGAGAUCUGGAGCCUUCAAUAAAUCCUGUAGUGAGGUAUUCCUGAUGUCCCUGACUCAGCACAAUUCCCAAUUCCUGUCUCGUCCAUCACCACAUUGAAGACAGUUGGUCAGCCAGAGAGAGAUGGAGAGGGAGAUCUGGAGCCUUCAGUAAAUCCUGCAGCCGGUACUCAGGAAGUUCCUGACUCAAUAGACUUCCCAACUGCUGUGUGUCUCAUCCAUCACCUCAUUGAAGAUGGUUGGUCAGCCAGAGAGACAAAGGGCAGGGAGA